GUUUGUGCACUUAGUAACAACAAAACUGUAGUUUGGCUAUCGUCACUUGACUAUCAGUUUUCAUCUGUGGAGAUUUGACAUUUGAACAAGAACAUUCCUGGGAAUUAUCUACUUUACGGGGCGAAAAGCUUUGCAAAGUUAUUCGUGAUUAUAAGGAAAGCAAGCUGUCUUGCAAGUUAGGAUUUUGGAGAUAGGAAAUACACUGAGGCAGAAAUGGGGCAUUACUUGCACGGGAAAUAACCUUCGGCGCUUACGAAGAAAAAGCAAAGAUGGGAAGAAAGAUCACGGCUGUGGAUCUUAUAUUUUGACAUUAAUCGGAUUCCGGAUAGAAUUAUUGGGAAUGAUCCGACAGAUCUUGAAUGUACCUUGACGUAUUGCCCCAAGAGUCGCUCACCUUGUAGAACGUACCACACAGCUGACACAAAAUAUAGCCACAUUACCCAAAAUGCUGAUCAGAGUGAGCUACCUUCCACAUUCGAACCAAACCAAAGCCAUCACAUUGAGACCUUUCAUUACGGAUUCGUGGUGAAGGUUUUUUUCUCAUACAAAUCCGUGUAAUACUAAAUUAGGAUCUACUCUUGUGAGGGUCUCGGCUUCAGGCAUGAUGUGACUCCGCUUGGCAUAAUAAUGCACGACAGCGCAUUUUAGUAUUUUUUUUCUCUCAGCACCACAUUGCAACAUAUUUGCUGUGCACUUAACAACUUGUAAAAUAAACUAUUACGUUGGAAAUUUUCAAUUGUUUCAACAUGGCUUGUUGGACUUUGAAACCACUAGCUAAGGUAUGUUCUUCGGAUCAUUAGGGACAAUUUGAUUAUCAAAACUAUGACUAUCCAGGCGUCACAUUCUAUCAGGUAAACUCCCAGCUGCCCUUUUAACACGCCUGUAUUUCCUAACCUUCGCAGCUAGUGGAUUUGAUGUGCUUGAGCAUGAAAGUAAUUGGAGAUCUUAUGUGUUUUCAUGUUGGGUAUCCACUCAAUCACAGUCAAGCAUUGUCCUGAACAGAAAUACUGUCGCGAUCUAGUUCCCCUUUCCAAUCGCUUCACACACAAAGCAACUUGGCAAUAGUCAUGGAAUUACGACAUUAUGUGCACGGUUUCCUUUUGUUUGAAUCGAUCUUCUGUUAAUGGCAGGUCAAGUCUAAACAGCAUUGGUACAAACCUGAGAAUUUCAAUUUGUUUGUAAGUAAUCAUUAAAAUAUUCUGAUGCGCCUCCUGACAACCUCAGCAUGA